GGGGGACAACAGUUGGAAACGACUGCUAAUACCGCAUACGCCCUACGGGGAAAGGCUUCGGCACCAAAGGAUGAGCCCGCGUUUGAUUAGAUAGUUGGUGGGGUAAUGGCCUACCAAGUCUACGAUCAAUAGCUGGUUUGAGAGGAUGAUCAGCAACACUGGAACUGAGACACGGUCCAGACUCCUACGGGAGGCAGCAGUGGGGAAUAUUGGACAAUGGGGGAAACCCUGAUCCAGCCAUGCCGCGUGAGUGAAGAAGGCCCUAGGGUUGUAAAACUCUUUCAGUCACGAGGAUAAUGACGGUAGUGACAGAAGAAGCCCCGGCUAACUCCGUGCCAGCAGCCGCGGUAAUACGGAGGGGGCUAGCAUUGUUCGGAAUUACUGGGCGUAAAGCGCGCGUAGGGGUUUAGCAAGUUAGGGGUGAAAUCCCGGGGCCCAACCCCGAACUGCCUCUAAAACUGCUAAACUAGAAUUCAAGAGAGGUAGGCGGAACUCCCAGUGUAGAGGUGAAAUUCGUAGAUAUUGGGAAGAACACCAGUGGCGAAGGGGCUUACUGGCUUGAUAUUGACGCUGAGGUGCGAAAGGUGGGGAGCAAACAGGAUUAGAUACCCUGGUAGUCCACGCCGUAAAUGGUGAAUGCUAGUUGUCAGAAGCUUGACUUUUGGUGACGCAGCUAACGCAUUAAGCAUUCCGCCUGGG
rnacentral:rRNA from 1 species